rnacentral:rRNA from 1 species
AGCAGCCGCGGUAAUUCCAGCUCCAAUAGCGUAUAUUAAAGUUGUUGCAGUUAAAAAGCUCGUAGUUGAAUUUCGGGAUCAGUAGGUCGGUCAUGCCUAUGGUAUGUACUGGUCUCACUGGUUCCUCCUUCCUGAUGAACCGUAAUGCCAUUAAUUUGGUGUUGCGGGGAAACUGGACUGUUACUUUGAAAAAUUAGAGUGUUUAAAGCAGGCUAACGCUUGAAUACAUUAGCAUGGAAUAAUGAAAUAGGACGAUCGAUCCUAUUUUGUUGGUUUCUAGGAUUGACGUAAUGAUUAAUAGGGAUAGUUGGGGGCAUUAGUAUUCAAUUGUCAGAGGUGAAAUUCUUGGAUUUAUUGAAGACUAACUACUGCGAAAGCAUUUGCCAAGGAUGCUUUCAUUAAUCAAGAACGAAAGUUAGGGAUCGAAGACGAUCAGAUACCGUCGUAGUC